rnacentral:lncRNA from 1 species
AUGCUGUGGAAGUGUAAGUAUUGUGAGUUUAUGUGUGAGAAAAGGGGUUACCUUUUAAAACAUUACCGGUUAAAACACGGAAACUAUGGAAGAACAGCCCCAUUUCCCUGCUUACACCAAGAAUGUGUGUGCACAUUCAACUCCAUGAAUGCACUCAAGGUUCACUUAGCAAAGAUCCACCAAAAAACCCAGGUUCCACAGCCAAUAUAUACUGCACAAGUAACCUUUCAGUGUCAGUCAUGUGACUUUUCUGCACCCUGCACAGAAGCAGUCUUCCUCACUCACUUGCGCAGUACACAUUUGAAGGUAAAUCACAGAGUCCAGUGUCCAUUUAAUGGCUGCAACUUUCACACCAGUGUGUAUUCUACAUUUAAUGCACACAGAAGUAAAGAGCACAGAACACUCGACUGGAGGAUGUUCAGGCCGGAAAUUGUUGCUGGUAAUGUAACUAAUGAAAUGGCACAAGAAUAUCACGAGCCUCCCAAUGACACCUCCGAAUCGGAAGACAAUGAGGACUCUACCAAUGAAGAUCUUCAUGAUUUAGAAAAACAGCUGGAGCACAAUCUUGCUGCUCUUUUUUUAAAGAUGCAAACAGUGCUACACAUUCCAGAAAAUACAGUACAAGAAGUUAUAAAACAGCUGCUACAGAUUUGUGAACUAGCCCAGCCACUGCUGCAUAAUGCAGUCAAGGAAAUUCUCAAACCACAUACAAAUGUGGAAGAUUCUGUUGUGGAAGAAUUAGUAAGGGCUGCUGAAAAGGGUAAUGUAAUGAUGAAAUUCUGUGGCAAGAAUGGCCCCUUAUCAACUACAAAAAGGAGAGCAGCAUAUGUGAAUAAAAACUUUACAGAGGUUAAACCAGUAGAGUACCUUAUUGAAAGAGGAAAAAAAUGUAGUGCUGUAUAUGUACCUUUGCAUCCAAUGCUACAGAAGAUGUUGAGUAGGGCAGACAUUUUGGAUAAAGCUCUUUCCAUCCAAAAGCAUGUGCAACAUGAGUACAGUUCAUACAGAGAUGGUACAUACUGUAAUGAAAAUGACCUCCUUAAAGGGGAUGAAUUCAAAAUCGCUGUUGGACUAUAUACAGAUGAUUUUGAAGUGUCCAACCCUUUGGGAACAUCUAGAAAGAAACACAAAAUGAGUGCAGUGUAUUGGGUGAUAGCUAAUGUCCCAUCAAAGUACAGAUCCACACUCCACUCCAUCCAGCUUGCUGUCUUGUGUAAAGCCUCUUAUGUGAAAGAAUUUGGCUAUGCAAAAAUUCUCCACCCACUCAUUCAAGAUCUAGCUUCUUUGGAGCAACAUGGUGUCUAUGUUGAGAAGUUGGGAGAAUGUGUUAAAGGGACAGUUGUAUAUGUGGCUGCAGAUAACCUGGCUGCUCAUUCUCUGGCAGGAUUCUUCGAAAGCUUUACGGUGGACAGAUUCUGCAGGUUCUGCAUGGCAACAAGGGACGAGAUGCAAGCCAAAGAGGUAAAUUCAGGUGCUUUUGAACCCCGCACUAUUGAUGCUCACAAUCAGCAGGUGCAGGAGGUAAAGCAGGAUCCUACUAAGGCAAAACAAUAUGGUGUUAAAGGAGAGUGUGUACUGACUGAUGGUCUGGAGCAUUUUCACGUUGUCCAUGGGUAUCCCCCGACAUCCUCCAUGACCUUUUGGAAGGGAUUGUUCCUGUUGAGCUAUCACUCUGCAUUUCAAACAUGA